rnacentral:ncRNA from 1 species
UACCUGGUUGAUCCUGCCAGUAGUCAUAUGCUUGUCUCAAAGAUUAAGCCAUGCAAGUCUAAGUACGAGCUCUCGUACAGUGAAACUGCGAAUGGCUCAUUAAAUCAGUUAUGGUUCAUUUGAUCGUACAGUUUACUUGGAUAACUGUGGUAAUUCUAGAGCUAAUACAUGCGAGAAGCGCCGACCUCGCGGGAGGCGUGCAUUUAUCAGACCAAAAACCGGCCGCGUCUUCGGGCGCGUUCGCCUUGGUGACUCUGGAUAACUUUGCGGAUCGCACGGUCUAGCACCGGCGACGGAUCAUUCAAGUGUCUGCCCUAUCAACUUUCGUCGGUACGGUAUUUGCCUACCGAGGUUCUUACGGGUGACGGGGAAUCAGGGUUCGAUUCCGGAGAGGGAGCCUGAGAAACGGCUACCACAUCCAGGAAGGGCACCGGCGCGCAAAUUACCCAUUCCC